AUAAGCAAAAAAAGGGCGUAUGGGGAAUGCCUAGGCUCUCAGAGGCGAAGAAGGACGUGAUAAGCUGCGAAAAGCUGCGGGGAUUGGCACACACGAGUUGAUCCGCAGAUAUCCGAAUGGGGCAACCCACUAUGUAGGAGACAUAGUACAUCCGUUAAAAGAUGAGCAAACCCGCAGAACUGAAACAUCUAAGUAAGCGGAGGAGAAGAAAACAAAAGUGAUUCCGUAAGUAGCGGCGAGCGAACGCGGAAAAGCCCAAACCAAUGAUGUUACGGCAUCAUUGGGGUUGUAGGAGCACGAUAAAAGAUAUUGAAAAAGAAUAAGAAUAAACUGGAAAGUUUAACCGCAGAGGGUGAAAGUCCCGUAUUAGUAAGAAUUUAAUAUAAUAGUGUAAUCCUGAGUAUGUCGGGACACGAGAAAUCCUGAUUGAAUUCGGCGGGACCAUCCGCUAAGGCUAAAUACUCCUGAGAGACCGAUAGAGAACCAGUACCGUGAGGGAAAGGUGAAAAGAACCGUGAAUAACGGAGUGAAAUAGAACCUGAAACCAUACGCCUACAAGCGGUCGGAGCCUUUUUUAAGGGGUGACGGCGUGCCUUUUGCAUAAUGAGCCUACGAGUUACCGUUUCUGGCAAGGGUAAUUGGUUCAGCCAAGGAUCCGUAGCGAAAGCGAGUCUUAACAGGGCGUUUUAGUCAGUAUCGGUAGACGCGAAACCGAGUGAUCUACCCAUGGGCAGGUUGAAGUUAAGGUAACACUUGAUGGAGGACCGAACCGUUUGACGUUGAAAAGUCUUCGGAUGACCUGUGGGUAGGGGUGAAAGGCCAAUCAAACUCGGAAAUAGCUCGUACUCCCCGAAAUGCAUUUAGGUGCAGCGUUAUAUACAGUUAAUUAUAGGUAGAGCUACUGAUUGGAUGCGGGGGUUUCACCACCUACCAAUUCCUGACAAACUCCGAAUGGUAAUUAAUGAUAAAUAACAGUGAGGGCAUGGGUGCUAAGGUCCAUGUCCGAGAGGGAAAGAACCCGGACCAUCAUCUAAGGUCCCAAAAUGUAAGCUAAGUUGAAGAAACGCGGUUAUUCUGCCUAGACAGCUAGGAUGUUGGCUUGGAAGCAGCCAUUCAUUUAAAGAGUGCGUAACAGCUCACUAGUCGAGCGGUAUAGCAUGGAUAAUAAUCGGGCAUCAAGCAUACUACCGAAGAUAUGGAUUUAUCAAAAGAGAUAAGUGGUAGGGGAGCAUUCUAAUUUGGUAGAAUGGAUAUUGUGAGAUAUCCUGGACGAAUUAGAAAAGAAAAUGUAGGCAUAAGUAACGAUAAUGCGGGCGCGAACCCCGCACACCGAAAGACUAAGGUUUCCUGAGCUAUGCUAAUCAGCUUAGGGUUAGUCGGUACCUAAGGCAAUUCCGAGAGGAUAGGUCGAUGGAUAACGGGUCAAAAUUCCCGUACUAUUUCUUACUGUGAAGCGGUGACGGAGAGAUGAAAGUGUCGCGAACUGACGGAAAAGUUCGUUGAAGUAUGUAUCUAUAUUGUAGUCAGGCAAAUCCGAUUAUGAUGGAGAAGUACGAAAGUACUCGGCGUCUACGGGCAAAGAGAUAGUACACCUAAGAGCUUCCAAGAAAACCCGCUAAACGACAGGUAAAAAAUAACCGUACCGCAAACCGACACAGGUAGUCGAGGAGAGUAUCCUAAGGUGCUUGAGAGAUUCAUGGCUAAGGAAUUAGGCAAAAUAGACCUGUAACUUCGGGAAAAAGGUCGCCAUCAGCGAUGAUGGCCGCAGCGAAUAGAUCCAGGCGACUGUUUAUCAAAAACACAGGGCUCUGCAAAAUCGUAAGAUGAGGUAUAGGGCCUGACACCUGCCCGGUGCUGGAAGGUUAAGAGGAUAUGUUAUCUUCGGAGAAGCAUAGAAUUGAAGCCCCAGUAAACGGCGGCCGUAACUAUAACGGUCCUAAGGUAGCGAAAUUCCUUGUCGGGUAAGUUCCGACCUGCACGAAUGGUGUAACGAUCUGGAUACUGUCUCAGCCAUGAGCUCAGUGAAAUUGUAGUAUCGGUGAAGAUGCCGAUUACCCGCAGUGGGACGAAAAGACCCUGUGCACCUUUACUAUAGCUUAGUAUUGACUUUGGAUAAGUGAUGUGUAGGAUAGGUGGGAGACUUUGAUCUGGUGUCGCCAGGCAUUAGUUAGUCAUUGUUGAAAUACCACCCUUUACUUAUCUGAAGCCUAACCCUUUUAUAAGGGGACAUUUCUUGGUGGGUAGUUUGACUGGGGUGGUCGCCUCCCAAAGAGUAACGGAGGCUUCUAAAGGUUCCCUCAGUACGCUUGGUAACCGUGCGCAGAGUGCAAUGGCAUAAGGGAGCUUGACUGAGAGACCUACAAGUCGAUCAGGUACGAAAGUAGAGCAUAGUGAUCCGGUGGUUCCGCAUGGAAGGGCCAUCGCUCAAAGGAUAAAAGGUACGCCGGGGAUAACAGGCUGAUCUCCCCCAAGAGCUCAUAUCGACGGGGGGGUUUGGCACCUCGAUGUCGGCUCGUCACAUCCUGGGGCUGGAGAAGGUCCCAAGGGUUGGGCUGUUCGCCCAUUAAAGUGGCACGCGAGCUGGGUUCAGAACGUCGUGAGACAGUUCGGUCUCUAUCUACUGUGGGCGCAAGAAAUAUGCGAGGAUCUGACUCUAGUACGAGAGGACCGAUUUGGACAAACCGCUGGUGUAUCUGUUGUCCCGCCAGGGGCAUUGCAGAGUAGCUACGUUUGGAAAGGAUAAGCGCUGAAAGCAUAUAAGCGCGAAACCGACCUCAAGAUUAUAUUUCUUUCAAGGGUCGUGGGAGAUUACCACGUUGAUAGGCUAUAGAUGUAAAGGCAGUAAUGUCAUAGUCGAGUAGUACUAAUAACCCGUAAGCUUAUGUAA
rnacentral:rRNA from 1 species